rnacentral:rRNA from 1 species
GAUGAACGCUGGCGGCGUGCCUAAUACAUGCAAGUCGAGCGAACGGACGAGAAGCUUGCUUCUCUGAUGUUAGCGGCGGACGGGUGAGUAACACGUGGAUAACCUACCUAUAAGACUGGGAUAACUUCGGGAAACCGGAGCUAAUACCGGAUAAUAUUUUGAACCGCAUGGUUCAAAAGUGAAAGACGGUCUUGCUGUCACUUAUAGAUGGAUCCGCGCUGCAUUAGCUAGUUGGUAAGGUAACGGCUUACCAAGGCAACGAUGCAUAGCCGACCUGAGAGGGGGAAGGGCAAGAGAGGAAAUGAGACAAGGGGAAGAAAGGUAAGGGAGGAACGAGGGGGGAAGAGUGGGGGACGGGGGAAGAAAGGAAGAAGAAAAGAGGAGGAAGGGAAGAAGGAGUUAGGGUCGGAAAGCUCUGUUAGGAGGGAAGAAAAAAAGUGCAAGAACAUGUAGACGUGAGGACGGGAAAUAAUAAGAAAGAGAGGGGUAAGUACGUG